CUACCCUUGACAUGGUCGGAAUCCUGCUGAGAGGUGGGAGUGCUCGAAAGAGAACCUGCACACAGGUGCUGCAUGGCUGUCGUCAGCUCGUGUCGUGAGAUGUUGGGUUAAGUCCCGCAACGAGCGCAACCCUUAUCAUUAGUUGCUACGCAAGGGCACUCUAAUGAGACUGCCGGUGACAAACCGGAGGAAGGUGGGGAUGGCGUCAGGUCAUCAUGGCCCUUAUGGGUAGGGCUACACACGUCAUACAAUGGUACAUACAGAGGGCCGCCAACCCGCGAGGGGGAGCUAAUCCCAGAAAGUGUAUCGUAGUCCGGAUUGUAGUCUGCAACUCGACUGCGUGAAGUCGGAAUCGCUAGUAAUCGCGAAUCAGAAUGUCGCGGUGAAUACGUUCCC
rnacentral:rRNA from 1 species